rnacentral:lncRNA from 1 species
CACUGUUUUCCAGAAUUUCUUUUUGGAGUUUCUCAGCCAUUAAAAUUGUUUCUCUGUUAAAAAAAGAGAAAAUAAAACUAAAAUUAAAAAUUGUGGGACCUAUUUAGUUUCAAGAAUAAAUAUAGUUAGCUUGUAGUUAUAAAAAACUGCUUUAGUAGCAAUAACUGCCUUAUAAUGUGAUAAAAACUCAUAAACUGCCUUAUAGUGUAAAUAACUCA